ensembl:lncRNA
CACCCACUGACAUUCAUUAAUGCUUACUGAGUAUAUAUGGAGACCAAACAGUGGAUGUGGUGGGUCAUCUCUGCUGGUACAGAUUUUUACAAGCAUGGCAAGCAGGUGAGAAUGCACAGCUAAGGGAGUUUUCAUGGAAAUAAAUUGGAGGCAUUAAUUUUGGAGCGUCUUACAGAGGGAAAGAGGUACGUACAUCCAUCCUCUUGCACGUCAGCCAAAGCACGCCCACUGCACACGGUGCAUACAGUACCUUUCCCACGUGUUCCUGUAGCUCCCCUUGAUGUCCUCUGUUUAACAGCGUCACACUUCAAGCGCCGGCUGUUGAGAUACAGGCAAAUAAAUCAAUAUCUACCGGCAGCACAAAAACACGAGUCGUCUGGGGAACACACUUUGGGUGGAAGCUGAUAACAGCCCUUCAGGAAACCGAGCUCAACAGGAAAGCGUUCAGCCAGGACUGACACAUCCUCACCUCCUCAACCCGCAUACACAAUUUGCUGCUGAAUUGAACUACAGCAUGUUCUUUGCUGACCCGGAAAGCUAAACUGCAACGAAAGGAUAAAAAUGAAUGAAAUAGGUGGGGGGCAACUUGUGAGUACUCAAAACCACAAAGUGAACGUGGAUUUUCAGCCUCUGUUCAUAUCUGGCAGUCACACACCAGUACUCACGCAGGGCUGAGAGGUUCAUUUUCUGCCAGGUUAACUCAUCAUUUUCUAACGCAGGGUAGAAUUUGACUCUUAUAUUUGGGACUGACAUGAGGGAGAGAUGCCAGAAGUGCAGGCAGUUGGAGAUAAACCACAAUUUGCCACCCUGGUGGUUUCGUGCUCUGCAAAACUGUUUCCAGACUGAAAUGACAGAGGUUGGUGACAUUGGCCAUGUAUGUAAAUGAUCACGGUGUCCUACGGAGAUUAAUUGGCUCAUGAAUAAAGAUGAGGAGCUGAGGUGUGCAGGGAGAAAUCAUUUAUCAAUUAUAUGCCUUGGAAAGCUAAAAGAUGAUGCGGCCUUAACAGCUGAAUGGGUUUGAAAGGGAGCCUUGUAAAUUGAGUUCUAAUUCUGUUCUGCCACA